rnacentral:tmRNA from 1 species
AACCCUUAGCGAACUCGCUGCAGGUCUUCCCUGCCCGGUGGGUAGCCUGCAGUCAAAUCAAAGACCGGGAUAAGCAUGUAGAUCCGAUGGCGGAGGACUGGCGGACGGGGGUUCGAUUCCCCCCGUCUCCACCA